rnacentral:rRNA from 1 species
UAGGGAAUCUUCGGCAAUGGACGAAAGUCUGACCGAGCAACGCCGCGUGAGUGAAGAAGGUUUUCGGAUCGUAAAACUCUGUUGUUAGAGAAGAACAAGGACGGUAGUAACUGAACGUCCCCUGACGGUAUCUAACCAGAAAGCCACGGCUAACUACGUGCCAGCAGCCGCGGUAAUACGUAGGUGGCAAGCGUUGUCCGGAUUGAUUGGGCGUAAAGCGAGCGCAGGCGGUUUCUUAAGUCUGAUGUGAAAGCCCCCGGCUCAACCGGGGAGGGUCAUUGGAAACUGGGAGACUUGAGUGCAGAAGAGGAGAGUGGAAUUCCAUGUGUAGCGGUGAAAUGCGUAGAUAUAUGGAGGAACACCAGUGGCGAAGGCGGCUCUCUGGUCUGUAACUGACGCUGAGGCUCGAAAGCGUGGGGAGCAAACAGG